rnacentral:rRNA from 1 species
GUAGGGAAUAUUGGGCAAUGGAUGCAAGUCUGACCCAGCCAUCCCGCGUGCCGGAAGAAGGCCCUCAGGGUUGUAAACGGCUUUUGACGGUGAAGAAUCGACAGGAUGCGUCCUGUUUUGACGGUAGCCGUUGAAUAAGCACCGGCUAACUCCGUGCCAGCAGCCGCGGUAAUACGGAGGGUGCGAGCGUUGUCCGGAUUUAUUGGGUUUAAAGGGUGCGUAGGCUGGAAGGUCAGUCAGCGGUGAAAAGCUGUCACUUAACGAUAGUCUUGCCGCAGAUACUUCCUUUCUUGGAUGAGGAGGAGGCCACUGGAACGGAUGGUGUAGCGGUGAAAUGCAUAGAUAUCAUCCAGAACACCGAUUGCGAAGGCAGGUGGCUGUACCUUAAUCGACGCUGAUGCACGAAAGCAUGGGGAGCAAACAGGAUUAGAAACCCUUGUAGUCC